GUGCUGACUUGGGCAGCACAUAUACUAUAAUUGGAAUGAUAACGGAGAAGAUUAGUGUGGUUCCUGCACAAGUAUGAUGUGCAAAUUUGUGAAACAUUAAAACGAAAA